UAAGAUUAAGAGUGGAAAAGACAAUGGAUUUUUGGGUGAAGAUUUUCAGCUUCAUGCUGAUCACUGUCACAGCAUCCUGGGGACAAGUUGUGCUCACCCAGUCUCCAGAAUCCAUGGCUGCAUCUCAAGGGGAGAAGGUCACCAUCUCCUGCCUCUCAAGUGUAAGCACCGGUUACUUGCACUGGUACCAACAGAAGCCAAAAGCUUCUCCUAAACUCCUGAUUUAUGAAGUAACCAACCUGGCUUCUGGAGUUCCAGCUCGCUUUAGUGGCAGUAGGUCUGGGAGUUCUUACUCUCUCACCAUCAGCAGCGUAGAGGCUGAAGAUGCUGCCACUUACUACUGUCAGCAGGGAACUAGUUACCCACUCACACAGUGA